UAUGUUCAUCCAAUCAAAAGAGCAUAAAAAAAAAAGCAAUGGAAGCUGAUGAUGAAUCCAACACCUUCUGAUCAGAUCAAAUGAAAGCAUACUUAAAGGGGAUCUUGUAUCAUAGUACUAAAACUCGAAACACCACUCUAGCUAGCCUGGCGCCAGGAAAGGUGAUUAGUUUGUAAAAGAAUUGUGUAAUGCGCUAUGGUUGUUGAAUGUGGGGCAUUGAUUUGACUGUAAUGCUAAAAUGACUCUAAAGAGAGGCUAGCCAUGGCAUUGCAUGAUGAUCAACACAAAGGAGAAUGCAAUCAUAUUGCAGCUAGCAAAAACAAAAUUUCUGAAACAUAGCUCAAAACGAGAUUUAUGCCUCUAACUUCGCUACCAAAGACUCAACGUCAGAUUUCAGGUUCGAUAUCGAGAAAGCAAAAUGAAGUAUAGUGUGUUGAAGCCACCAAAGGAAGAAGAUCUUCAGAGGUCAGAGAGGACAAGAAGAAAAUCAGAGACAGUGGAACACCAAACAUAAACAGAAAUGCCCAUCUGACAGUCAAGCCACUCACCUAACCCAUACAUGGCCUAUUCAAAAUUGACCAGGUUCGUCAUCGUUGUUGCUGGAGUAACAAAAGGAAGCACAGAGGGGCUCAGGGCAUCAACCGGCCAGUUCAAAUGUGUGCACCAAAGAACACACUGUAACUCUAUGAUCUGGGGAACAAAGUUUGUAGACAAGAAUCAAUACAGCAUGUGAGUUCAUGCAGUCAAGACUUGCAAAUCCUGUGACUCGGUUUCCAACUCAAGCACAAAUUCUACCGGCUGCUCGAAGACUCAUAGUUUUCACCACUCGCUAGCAUUUCGUGUACACUUGAAUCAAAUAAAUUCCAAGAACUGAUCAAGGUAACUAUGCUAGCUAAACUUGAAAGUUGACGAAGUAUUGGUACAACAAAAACCUCAACAGAAAUAAUAGCUAGCAUCUUUCUAUGGCUUCCCAAAUGUAUAAUGCAAAAUUUACCCAUCCCAUUUGUUCAAUAAUCUCGUAUCAUUGUAACAUCUAAGUGGAGAAAACAAUUGGAUUGGUAUCAACUUCGUCCCCUAUCAAUUUUAAUUUUUCAAUGGA